GGCUGUGCAUUUUUUUAAGUUGAUACAAAUGACCUCCCAAAGCUCCCACCUCCAAGCACCACACGAGGGGGAGCAGGGCUUCCACGUGCGCAUUAGGGGUCACACACGUGCCCCCCAUCACACCCCCGCUUCGGCAGCAGUCCUGACGGCCCCAUCCAUAGGCGCAGUCCCAGUUUUAAAUGCUCUCCAAGGUUCUCCGCAUUCUCCUAACUCGAUUUCCUCUCUCGCUCUAGGAAAAUGAAUUGAUGCUGACCUCAGAGAAGAGAGGACGUCGAGAUGAAGGCAGCAAGCAGUCUCAGGCUACGUGAUUCUCGGCACUCUUCCCACAGCAGAAGGAGGACCCAGCUCGGGACCCGCAGGAAAUAAAUCGGUGCGUCCGCGCUGGAGGAGGAUGGUGCGUGGACGGGCGGGUGAUGACCAGAGCGGAUACUGCUGGCAGGUCGUUGAGGCUGCUUUUGUCUUUGGCUCAGAGACAAAAGACCUGCCGUCCUCACAGUUCUGGAGGCUGGAAAUCCAAGGUCACGUGCCAGUAGACUCCGUGCCUGCUAUACACACACAUUCUUCUUCUCUUCUUCUCUUCCAUCUUGGUCGGCCUGAAGGGAUUGGAUGCAGGUCCCUGUGCGGUGCUGUAGGGUCGCAACGCCUCAGCGCUUACAUGUGGAACCUAAACUAUGGCACAGGUUUUUCCGUCCGUGCAGGAACCAAAGCGCCUCCAGGGACACCAGACGCAUUUGGCAAACAGAACUGGCCGGGUACAGUCUCGUUCAUCUAAAUUGCUCUCUAUCUGCCCAGAAACGCCAGGAUACAUGUCGGCGUCAGGGGUGUUCACCUGGCAAACGGCAGCAGAGGCGGGAGAGGCAUCCCAAGGCACCGACGGAAGGCAGGGAUGCAGGAUGCCAGCCAGGGAGGCGGGUCUGCACGCCGUGCUCGCACCACACCCAUCGGGGACAGAUGCAGACCCCAGGACUCCUGGGGAUGAGAGGGCCCCUGCUAGAGGGAUGCGGUUGGGAAUUUGAACUCAGAGAGAUGCAUCGAAGGAGCUCAGCAAAUGUGAAGCCACCGAGGCUGGCGGUUUCUGUGUCUCUGACUUUAUAUUAUAAAAUGAUGAGUAACCACAUGCCAACGGAAUGGAGACCUGCCUUCGUUUUGGUGUCUGGGGGUUGCUUCUGUUCUGAAACCACCAUUUUAUGUAAUGGUCUCAAAUGAUGGUUGUUUGCCAUAAUAAAAGAAAAAAAAUCUUUCA
rnacentral:lncRNA from 1 species